rnacentral:misc_RNA from 1 species
GAUGAAGAACGUAGCGAAAUGCGAUAAGUAGUGUGAAUUGCAGAAUUCAGUGAAUCAUCGAAUCUUUGAACGCACAUUGCGCCCCUUGGUAUCCCGAGGGGCAUGCCUGUUCGAGCGUCAUUUCACCACUCAAGCCUGGCUUGGUGUUGGGCGACGUCCUCUUUGGGGACGCGCCUCGAAACGCUCGGCGGCGUGGCACCGGCUUUAAGCGUAGCAGAAUCUUUCGCUUUGGAAGUCGGGGCCCCGUCUGCCGGAAGACCUGCUCGCAAGGUUGACCUCGGAUCAGGCAGGGAUACCCGCUGAACUUAAGCAUAACAAUAAGCGGAGGA